rnacentral:rRNA from 1 species
AACGAACGCUGGCGGCAUGCCUAACACAUGCAAGUCGAACGAGCCCUUCGGGUCUAGUGGCGCACGGGUGCGUAACGCGUGGGAACCUGCCCUUAGGUUCGGAAUAACUCCCCGAAAGGGGUGCUAAUACCGGAUAAUGUCUUCGGACCAAAGAUUUAUCGCCUUUGGAUGGGCCCGCGUUGGAUUAGCUAGUUGGUAGGGUAAAAGCCUACCAAGGCGACGAUCCAUAGCUGGUCUGAGAGGAUGAUCAGCCACACUGGGACUGAGACACGGCCCAGACUCCUACGGGAAGCAGCAGUGGGGAAUAUUGGACAAUGGGCGAAAGCCUGAUCCAGCAAUGCCGCGUGAGUGAUGAAGGCCUUAGGGUUGUAAAGCUCUUUUACCCGGGAUGAUAAUGACAGUACCGGGAGAAUAAGCUCCGGCUAACUCCGUG